CCUGCCUGCGGGAGUCUACGAGGACACUGACAUCAGAACUAUGAUGUCGCAGGCAAACCCUCCAAACAGAGGAAUGAGAGGAGCCGAGCAUCUUUCCUCUCUCCCCAGAGACCAGAGCCCCGAGCAGGAAGAUGCCCAGCCUCGUCCUGCCUGAGUCGGCAGGCAGCACCCAGCUCCUCUGCUGUGUGGCCCUCUGUCUCCUGGGGGCAGGUGCGGUGGAUGUUGGAGUCACCCAGUCCCCAGGAUACCUAAUCAAAGGCAGGCUGGGCAAGGCCACUCUGAAAUGCUCUCCCAUCUCCGGACACAACAGUUGUGCUGUGGUACCAGCAGGCUCGGGGGCAGGGCCCCCAGUUGCUCGUGGAGUAUUAUGAAAGGAUGCAGAGAAGCAAAGGAAACCUCCCCAAUCGCUUCUCAGGCCAGCAGCUCAGUGACUACAGCUCUGAGCUGGACCUGAGAGACUUGGAGCCUGGGGACUCAGCCUCGUAUCUCUGCGCCAGCAGCAGGAGCACAGCCCUGCAGAGUGACUGGCUUUCUGUAUGCAAACCUUCCUGACCCAGCGGAGGGUGUCAGACCGAGAGGGAGAAGGCCUUAGCCAAGUUCCACGGAGGCUUCUAGUUCUCUUCUAACGUCCUCCCUUGCCCCGCUGGGCUCAGCUCGAGUGCUCCUCAACACUGGGGCUGCAGAUUCACAGAAUAUUCUCAGAGCUCCUAACCGAGGGCCAGCGCUCCUACACUGUGCCAGAGCACAGGUGUGCAUCACGUGAUUUAUUGCAAGAUAGACAUUCGUACUUUGGAUGAGGUAGAUCUCAAAUACCAUAUUAUGGACAGGAAGCUAUAGCUCGUGGACUUUCCAGAUAUUUCCUAUUUAAAGUGUACAUCUCAAUGCCCCCAAAUCAGCAUUCCCCUAAAACGCCAGCCACCGCGUUUCCUGGGCCCCGGUCAAUGACGUGUAGCAGAGCACCGUCUCUGCCAUUUCAGGACCGGCUGAGCUCAGGUGGGGCGGUCACACAUCACGAUGCGUGGCUACUGUAGCUUAUUGCCUGCCAACUUCUAGGACACAGAGCUUCAAGCCAGAGAGUGUGCGUUCGUCCUGUUACAGUUGCCUACAGAGUGGGGCCUUGGUAUCCCCCUAAUACAGGAGCCACAUCGCUUGGGGGAUUUCCAGUCUAUCAAAGGUUCAGCCAGGGAAACUAGGAAUUUCAAGUAAAAGGGAGUUCAUACAAGGACUCAGUGCUCCUAAACCUUCGGAUGGGCUGGAGGAGGGAGGGUCGCCAAAGGCUGCAGCCUGCUCUCAGGUUCACCCCUUUCAAUCAGAAAAGCUGAAAUUGCUACUUCUGCCCAGGUCAGUGAUGGCAGAAAAGAGCCGGGAGUCACAGCUGUUAAAUGUACGGUGACAGCCAUUUACAGGCGAUAUGUACAAGUCUGCUGGUGGACACGGGCCAUUGUAAUUCUACUCCUUUGACGUGAAAUUAUAGAAAAUUCCCUUCUUUUUUGCUCAUUUUCUCUGUGCUACCUGCUUAAAUACAUGAUUUCAAUUCAUUUCCUUAAGAACCAUGUGAGAUGAAACAAUGUAUCCACAAUCGUGAAUAAAACGAUUGUUAGAGACUUCAGAUAAUUUGCUAAGGAGAGAGACUCUGCUGGUAUAGGAGUUCAAACACAGGUUGUGUCUUCUACGCAUGCUUUAAAUUGCUCCAUC